ensembl:lncRNA NRG3-AS1 NRG3 antisense RNA 1
AAUUCUGGAGAAAUUAUUCAAAGUAGUCCUAAACUGUUCAUCCUAUCCUGCCUUACCCUUCUCUCAGAAACCCCAACAAAGGCCAUGCCUUACAACUUACCUUGCUCCUGUUUCUGCCUCCUGACCACUCUGGUCUUCCCCAUGUUGCCAUGUAUGGCAUGCCUCCUGUCUCUAGGACCUAUGCAGCAAAAGAGAAAAACAAUGAAAGUCUGUAUUAGUAACCAGAAAAACGGUCAGAAGUCUGAGGUACCUGAGAGAAGACAGCAAAAUGAGAUCUGGAAUUUGAGGAGCACCUGUUAGGAGAAGAGCCAUCUCUACUACUCCCCAAAAGAUUCCCUGUUCUAGUUGGCCUUCUAUAUUGGUGGUUUCUGAAUACAUACCCCAAAGAACCUGAGCAUCAGUGAAUUCUGGUAUCUUCUGGGAGCCCUGGAACUAAUCUCUUGAAGAUACCAACGGAUGACUGUGUUUUAAAAGGUAAGUGGAUUAGGAUAUUGACGGUGAUCAUUUUGCAUAAUUUUUUUCAUAAUGUUGGGCUUCCAAACAAAAGAUUAAAAG